UACGUAGGGGGCAAGCGUUGUCCGGAUUUAUUGGGCGUAAAGAGCGUGUAGGCGGCUUUACAGGUCCGUUGUGAAAACUCGAGGCUCAACCUCGAGACGCCGGUGGAAACCGUAAGGCUAGAGUCCGGAAGAGGAGAGUGGAAUUCCUGGUGUAGCGGUGAAAUGCGCAGAUAUCAGGAAGAACACCCGUGGCGAAGGCGGCGCUCUGGGCCGGUACUGACGCUGAGGAGCGAAAGCGUGGGUAGCAAACAGG
rnacentral:rRNA from 1 species